rnacentral:rRNA from 1 species
UACGUAGGGCGCAAGCGUUUAUCCGGAAUUAUUGGGCGUAAAGAGCUCGUAGGCGGUUUGUCGCGUCUGCCGUGAAAGUCCGGGGCUCAACUCCGGAUCUGCGGUGGGUACGGGCAGACUAGAGUGAUGUAGGGGAGACUGGAAUUCCUGGUGUAGCGGUGAAAUGCGCAGAUAUCAGGAGGAACACCGAUGGCGAAGGCAGGUCUCUGGGCAUUAACUGACGCUGAGGAGCGAAAGCGUGGGGAGCAAACAGG